GGUAGUAGCUCAGCUGGCUAGAGCGUCUCGUUGCCAACGAGAAGGUCGAGGGUUCGAAUCCCUUCUAC
rnacentral:tRNA from 1 species